rnacentral:sRNA from 1 species
GCGAAGCGAGAGAACGUUGCCGCAGGCAACGGCCCGAAGGGCGAGGCGCUUUAGCGCCGAGUAAUCCUUCCCCCACCACUG